rnacentral:lncRNA from 1 species
UGAAAGCUAGUUGAGGAGUGGUGAUGGAGGAGAUCCAUUGGCCAUAAAGUGGCCUUAACCACUAAAUGAAGGUGUUUGGUGUGACAAAACCCAAGAACGAAUAGAACUCCAACCAAUGAAAAAAACUAGUGACUAUGGCAUCUAACAAGGGCAUCUAACAAGGAGAUCGGGGCUUGCUAUGGAGGAAACAAACCUAAAAAAGAAAAAGAAAAGAAAAGGACACCACCUUAAAUAAGAUGACUAGAAACUGAGGAAAAAGGAGUGAGAUUUGAGCUUAUUAUACUUAAGAGACCAUGCAAAGGAGUGGCUGGCUAGCGGCGACCGGAGCAAAAAUUGGCCGC